rnacentral:rRNA from 1 species
CCUACGGGUGGCAGCAGUAGGGAAUUUUCGGCAAUGGGGGGAACCCUGACCGAGCAACGCCGCGUGAACGAAGAAGUUAUUCGUAAUGUAAAGUUCUUUUAACAGGGAAGAAAGAGAAAUUUGUCGCUACCUGAAGAAUAAGCUCCGGCUAACUACGUGCCAGCCGCUGCGGUAAUACGUAGGGAGCGAGGGUUAUCCGGAUUGAUUGGGCGUAAGGGGUGCUUAGCUGGCAUAGCAAGUCUUUGGUAAAAAUGCUGGGCUCAACCCAGUAGGGCAAAAGAUACUGCAAAGCUAGAGUAUGACAGAGGCAAGUGGAACUACAUGUGUAGCGGUAAAAUGCGGAGAUAUAUGUAGGAACACCAGUGGCGAAGGCGGCUUGCUGGGUCGAUACUGACAGUGAGGCACGAAAGCGUGGGGAGCAAACAGGAUUAGAUACCCCUGUAGUC